GACGAACGCUGGCGGCGUGCCUAAUACAUGCAAGUCGAGCGGACCGGAUUGGGGCUUGCCUUGAUUCGGUCAGCGGCGGACGGGUGAGUAACACGUGGGCAACCUGCCCGCAAGACCGGGAUAACUCCGGGAAACCGGAGCUAAUACCGGAUAACACCGAAGACUGCAUGGUCUUCGGUUGAAAGGCGGCCUUUGGGCUGUCACUUGCGGAUGGGCCCGCGGCGCAUUAGCUAGUUGGUGAGGUAACGGCUCACCAAGGCGACGAUGCGUAGCCGGCCUGAGAGGGUGACCGGCCACACUGGGACUGAGACACGGCCCAGACUCCUACGGGAGGCAGCAGUAGGGAAUCUUCCGCAAUGGGCGAAAGCCUGACGGAGCGACGCCGCGUGAGCGAAGAAGGCCUUCGGGUCGUAAAGCUCUGUUGUGAGGGACGAAGGAGCGCCGUUCGAAGAGGGCGGCGCGGUGACGGUACCUCACGAGAAAGCCCCGGCUAACUACGUG
rnacentral:rRNA from 1 species